rnacentral:lncRNA from 1 species
AGGACCAUCCUAAGUCACUGGACUAAUAAGAGUGUCUAGAGAAAUGCCUCUGCUGAUUUGGAAUGAUCUAGAAUAAUUGGAAUUCACUUCUGAAGCUGUUGUGGCAUUUGAGACUCCAGUAAGAUUCAACGUAUCGGCACUUAAUUUAACAGACCUUUCUGAUGAAGUCCAAUGUGUAUGUGCUUCGUGAAAUACAGUUUGAAAAUGAAAGCUGAAUACAAUGUAGAGAGAUAAUUAAACAUAAAAAUUUAUGAAGCAAUUUCAUUAUUUAUGGAUACUACAUAAUUUUUUACAACUUAAAUAGAUAUAACUGUUAUCUUCCUUAUUCCUCUUCAUGGGAGAAUGUUAAUGUGAUUGUAACAUAAAAUCUCAGAAGAGUAUUUCUUUUUUGAUGUCUUAUUUUAUUGAUCUCUACUUUAAGAUAAUUUCAUGACAUUU